AUUGAACGCUGGCGGCAGGCCUAACACAUGCAAGUCGAGCGGAGCGGCGGACGGGUGCGUAAUGCCUAGGAAUCUGCCUGGUAGUGGGGGAUAACGUCCGGAACCGGGCGCUAAUACCGCAUCCUAUCAGAAGAGCCUAGGUCGGAGUAGCUAGAUGGUGGGGUAGAGGCCCACCAAGGCGACGAUCCUUAACUGGUCUGAGAGGAUGAUCAGUCACACUGGAACUGAGACACGGUCCAGACUCCUACGGGAGGCAGCAGUGGGGAAUAUUGGACAAUGGGCGAAAGCCUGAUGCAGCCAUGCCGCGUGUGUGAAGAAGGUCUUCGGGUUGUAAAGUACUUUCAGCUGGGAGGCGUUACCCGCAGAAGAAGCACCGGCUAACUCCGUGCCAGCAGCCGCGGUAAUUC
rnacentral:rRNA from 1 species